rnacentral:rRNA from 1 species
GGACUAUCAUGUCGGUCGUGCCUCGGUACGUACUGGUAUUGUUGGUUUCUCCCUUCUGACGAACCAUGAUGUCAUUUAUUUGGUGUUGUGGGGAAUCAGGACUGUUACUUUGAAAAAAUUAGAGUGUUUAAAGCAGGCUCACGCUUGAAUACAUUAGCAUGGAAUAAUGAAAUAGGACGUUUGAUUCUAUUUUGUUGGUUUUUAGAAACAAUAGUC